UACGAAGGGGGCUAGCGUUGCUCGGAAUGACUGGGCGUAAAGAGCGUGUAGGCGGCUCGAUAAGUCUGCUGUGAAAGUCCAGGGCUCAACCCUGGAAGGCCGGUGGAAACUGUCGGGCUAGAGUCCGGAAGAGGCGAGUGGAAUUCCCGGUGUAGCGGUGAAAUGCGCAGAUAUCGGGAGGAACACCAAUGGCGAAGGCAGCUCGCUGGGACGGUACUGACGCUGAGACGCGAAAGCGUGGGGAGCAAACAGG
rnacentral:rRNA from 1 species